AUAUCUCUCUGUACGGGAAGGAUGAGAAGCUUCGACUAAGGUUCGAUUCGAGCGAAGCGAGAAAGCGUUGCCGCAGGCAACGACCCGAAGGG
rnacentral:sRNA from 1 species